rnacentral:tRNA from 1 species
GGUUCUAUAGUGUAGUGGUUAGCAUGUCUGCUUUACAUGCAGAAGGUCCUGGGUUCCCGCCCCGGUGGAACCA